GGGCUGGCCGCGCGCAGCCCGGAGCCCGGGCCGGCCGAUGCGGCUCCGCGAAGCAGCCGCGCCAGCCUCAUGCCGAGCCCCGCCGGAGGAGCCGGAGCUGGGGUAGCCAGGUCGCCGCUCAGCGCCUCGGCCGGGCGGUGAAGGAGCCAAGACCCAGAGAGCUUCAGGAUCUGACCCUUGCCAAGCAGUGGUACAAAAAUACGAAUGAACAAGGGGGAAUGUGGCCCUAAAUGUUGUCAGCGACUGCAGACCCAGAAGAUGAUUGGCAACCCAACUUCCAGUCUUAGGUGACAAGUCUUCGGGCAUGGUCAGCAAAGUACUUAAAGGGUCCCUCUCCUUGACUGACUGACUUAACUGUCUUCUCAGCCUCACAGUUUGGCUGCUCCAUCCUUUCCUCUUCUGCUCCGUCUUCCUCGACUUAGACGAUGGGGCACCUCUGGAUAUGGUAAGUUGAAAACGCAUUUAAUACGGUUAACUUAUUCAGCGUCGUAACCUAGCCUAGUGGACCUUGAAUGUGCUCAGAACACUUCCAUUAGUCUACAGUUGGGCAAAAUCCUCUAACACAAAGCCAAUUUUAUAAGAACGUGCACUUUAUUGAAUACUGUACUGAAAGUGAAAAACAGGAUGGUUGUAAGUACAUCGGUUGUUUACCCUGGUGAUUAUGUGGCAGACUUGGAGUUGGAGCUGCUGAUACACAGCAUCACGAAAGAAUAUUGUACCACGUUGCAUCUUGCUUGGGAAAACAUCAACAUGCAAGGUAUAAUUUCCACUGAAUGGAUAUCGCUUUUGCUGCAUUGUAAAGUAGAAAAAUCAUAAGUUGAACUGUUGAAAGUCAGGAACUGCCUAUAAUGAAUAUAAGACUAGACAAUUUCUUAUAUUGGUUAAUGCCGUAGAGCUACAAAAGUUGCAAUCUGUGCUGAAAAUCACCACUGCUGUCCCUCCUCUCCACUGCUACUUCCCCCUAUAUCCAUCCCCAGUACUUUGGUAUGUCUUAGAUGAAACAAAAUUACUUUUUCCUGGGUAGUUUAUCAAUAAAAUAUGUAUGCAUGUAUAGCUCCAGCAAUCACUGGGAUAGAAACUCCAAAAUCUUAAAGGUUAUGCAUAGUAUUAUUCAGCUCCUUCAACCACUGUUGGCAACUCUGCUGCUUUCCACCUGAGCACGUGGAGGGAUUCAGCUGAACAUUGACUUGUGUGGAAGUACAAAGGCCCAGCAAGAAUCUUGAGAUUUAUUUUAGCAACUUUGUUCUCCCAGAAACUAACUCAGCUGUUUAUUAAAAUAUUUUUUUUUUCUGCAAAGUAUCUUCACCACCAAACUUCCACUCAAUAUCCAGAGAGUGAUUCUAUGAAAACACAUUAAAAAUGGUAUCAACAUUUUACUUUUUGGUCAAAGGCUUACUGUCCAGAAGCUGGAGAGAACAUUAGAGUUUUUCAGGGAUCUAUUAACCCGACGAUUGGUAAAAAUAUCUUAGGGGAAGCAGUUUUAGGGAAGGAAAAAAAUGUCCUUCCCUGCCAGGUUUUUCCAGCUGGUUUAGGAAUUAAAUUGACAUGAGACAGAUUAACAGGAGAAAAACCCAAUUCAUUAGGCGCAUAUGGAGACCCAAUAAUGAAAUCAAGAUCCAAAGAAAUGACCAAGACUCGCAGUUUUUAUACAUUUUAGACAAAAAGACAAUAAAUUUGUGAGGAAUUAACAGGAUAAAGAAAAUAAAUGUUUGAGAGUUUUAAUUAGGAAUUCUAAGAAUUUGGGCUGAGGUUGUAGAUUAGUAAAAAGUAACAAGGUUUGCCUGGGUGGCUCAGUUGGUUAAACUUCUGAUUCUUGAUAUUGGCUCAGGUCAUAAUUUCACAGUUCGUGGGUUUGAGCCCCACAUUAGGCUCUGCCCUGGCAGUGGGCAACCUGCUUGGGAUUUUCUCUCUCCCUCUCUAUCUGCCCCUCCACCCUGUCUAAAUAAACUUAAAAUAAAAGUGACAAGGUUUGUUUCUACAACUUUCUCAGCUUUAAAAUCUCUAUCUCUGGUGAUAAGGUUGUCUUUUUACUUCUUAGUACAGGGAAGGUAACUUUCAUAAGGAAGGUUUAUUUCCUGCCUAGGGGGUGGUGGGGGUGGGGGACAGAGGAAGGUCUGUGUCCUUACACUGGCUAUUUCCCAAGUAGCCUCAUGUAACCAUUGGUUACUUAGUAACAUGUUGUGCUUAGUAACAUGUUGUUUAGCCUCCAUGUGUUUGCGCUUUUUCCAAGGAGCUUCAAUUCAAAAUAACCAAUAUGCCAUGUGGCACAUUUUGGGGGCAGCCUGCCCUGGGCCUCUCCAGUUCCCUCUGAAACUUCCCUGGGAGUUUCAAUAUGAAAAGCUGAGCUGGUGACUGUGGAGAGAGAAACUGAGCUAGUGAGCGGCAGGAGAUCUGCAAAGAGGAAAAAGCACGUAGAUGAGAAUGAGGAAAAAAACAGAAGAACAAAUCAGAGCGCAUUUCCCCACACCCCAUUAAGCCAGCCUCCCAACUCCAGAAAUAGAUCCGUCCAGUAAAUAUUACUGUUUCAUUUAUCUGAUGACAAAUAUUAAUCCUUUAUUAUGACAGAUUUAAGUUAGGUAUUAUUUGUCCCCUUUGGCUUACACGGAAGCAACAUUUUUCACCAGGGAGUUCCUCCUUGCUGAGCUGCCAGUGUAUGUAGGGCAUGACGAUUUUGCAGUACCAAAGAGGCUAAGCUGUUAACUUCUGACGGGAGUGUUUUCAAAGUUUGCAUAGUGGUAUUGAACUAUUCCACUACAGAGAGAGAUUUAGGAUUGCCUUUUCUAAUUCAUAAUCUCCAAGAUUUGGGAAUAAAAACCCUUAAAGCUGAAAAGAAGGUGGACUUGAGAUAUGCAAGCAGAAUUUCUAUGAUUUUUUUGAGAGGCGUGUUUGUGUGACAUAAUUUUAUGAACAAAGGAACCCAAGUUUAUAAUUUGGCAUGUAAGGUGGAGUAUUUAGUGACAGAAGGAGGCAGGUCUGAACCCACAUUGUCCUGAAAACUUAGGUGGGAACCCUUUAUGUACUUUGUUGCUACAUAAGAUAAAAAGGGGUUAUGAUUGGGGCACCUGGAUGGCUCAGUCAGUUCAGCAUCAGACUCUUGAUUUCCACUCAGGUCAACACUCAGGGUUUAUAGGAUUAAGCCCCGCUUCUGGCUCCAUGGUGACAGUUUGGGUGGGGCCUGCUUGGGAAUCUCUCUCUCCCUCUCUGUCUGCCCCUUCCCUGCUUGUGUUCUUUCUCGCUCUCAAAAUAAAUAAAUAAACUUAAAAAUAAAAAAGAGGGGUAUGAUUUACAGACAAGGUUAGGUUGAAACCUGUAAUUUUUUUUUUUUUUUUUUUUAAGAAACAGAAAGCUAACAAGUGCAAGCAGGGGAGAGGGGCCGGAGGAGAAGGAGAGAGAAUUUUAAGAAGGCUCCACACUCAGUGCAGAGCCUGACCCGGAACUUGAUCCCAUGACCCUGGGAUCAUGACCUAAGCCCAAAUCAAGAGUGGGGCACUCAACCCACCCAGGCACCCUUGAAAUCUGUAGUUUCUUUUUUUAAUGUUUAUUUAUUUUUGAGAGGGGGAGGGGCAGAGAGAGAGGGAGACACAGAAUCUGAAGCAGGCUCCAGGUUCUAAGCUGUCAGAGCAGAGCCCGAUGCGAGGCUUGAACCCAUGAACCAUGAGAUCAUGACCUGAGCUGAAGUCGGAUGCUCAACCCACUGAGCCACCCAGGCACCCUGAAACCUGUAAUUUUUAAAGUCUGGAGUAUUCCAUGACCUUUGCCAUUGAUAAUGUUAAUAUCCAUACAUCUCUAUUUUUCCUGUCAGUCUAUGAGAGCAGAACAGGUUGUGAAAUAGUGAUGUAGGAGGUCUAUAGUUUGGUUCUGGCAGCUAUAAAGCUUACUGCUGUCAUCGAGCCAAAGAAAUCUGUAAUUCUGAUCCACCCAAAUAUAGUGUGUGGUAUUGGGCAAUCUAACAAGAGGGGCAGCUGGUAUGUAAACCUGUUUGGUGAUUUGGCAAACUUUUAUGCUAGAGUUAUUUUUAAUCUCCUUGCCAAGUUUAAAAAUGCCAUUUUCCAAAAAAAAAAAAGAAAAAGAAAAU